UCGUUUCCUCCCCACCCUUACCCGACGUUGUCCCCGCGCCUUCGCCCCUCGCGGCAAUGAGCCCUAACCGGCCUUACAACCGGCGCCGCACGGUUCCUCCUCGUGCAUUAAAAUCGUGACCAAGAGAGAAGUCGACACUCCUCUUCUUCCUCCUCUCAUCUUCCGAUUUUCCCCUCUCUGUGCCUGUGCCCUAGUGUCGUGCCGAUACCGACCGCCUCCUCUUCUCCGAGCCCGAUCUUCUUCUUCUUUCCCUUCCGAGCCGCACACCCGUUGCACACCACCGCCUUCUCCCUACUUGAGUUGUGUUGCGGCGACGAGACGAGUCCGAGCGCCGGCCUUCUCCACGCCGUGCCCUAGCCUGAAGCCGACGGCCACAGUCCGAUCUCUCUCCGGCGGCCACUGCUUUGCAUUCCUCUUCCUGUCGCCUGUCGACAUUGGAUUGAGCCGUGCCCUAGAGUUGGUCCACCACCACCCUUACACGAGUGGGCUUUCAACCAGAGGCAAAGAUCCAAGCCUCCUGAGCCGCACAUCACCGGCAGUAGUCUUCCCUUUUGCCCUAAUGACGAUCGCCUCCUCUGCCUUGCUUUCGUUCCCCGUUUGCUGUGUUACUGGCGCGUUGUGCCCUAGAUCGCCAGAGGCCUAGAGCUAGAGAAGGUGACAGCGAGCAGCAGUAAUCCGGCUGUGUGAUUUAAGGUAAGGGCUUAGGGUUUGGUUUUUCAAUCUUGUGCUCUGAUUCUUAUCCUACCGUGAGCAGCACUUGUGUUGGGUGGCUUUCGGAACGGCUAGUUGCUUCUGGUGGAGUAGAGGAUUGGUGACAUUAGGUAGUUAUUUCGUCCAGCAGCAAUUUUCCUUGCCUGUGGAUUAACAGGAGCGGCUGAGAAAUAAGGACUUUGACGCUAGACGAGCAUCUUGACGUCGGAUUUGACUGGCUCGAUCCCUAUUUUUGAGGCGGGU